GAUGAACGCUGGCGGCGUGCCUAACACAUGCAAGUCGAACGAGAUGCGUAUUGGAAAGCUUCGGCCGGAAGAUGCGUUAUCUAGUGGCGGACGGGUGAGUAGCACGUGGGUAACCUGCCUUAUGGAGGGGGAUAACAGAGAGAAAUCACUGCUAAUACCGCAUAAGCACACAUUGCCGCAUGGCAGAGUGUGAAAAGAUUUAUCGCCAUAAGAUGGACCCGCGUCUGAUUAGCCAGUUGGCAGGGUAAAAGCCUACCAAAGCAACGAUCAGUAGCCGAUCUGAGAGGAUGACCGGCCACAUUGGGACUGAGACACGGCCCAAACUCCUACGGGAGGCAGCAGUGGGGAAUAUUGCACAAUGGGGGAAACCCUGAUGCAGCGACGCCGCGUGAGUGAAGAAGUAUUUCGGUAUGUAAAGCUCUAUCAGCAGGGAAGAUAAUGACAGUACCUGACUAAGAAGCCCCGGCUAACUACGUG
rnacentral:rRNA from 1 species